CUCCCCUCCGCUGGUUUUUCCGUUGCGAUAGAACCAAUCCCUCGCUAGCCCUACCUCGUCUCCCGUCUCCAGUCGCAGCCGCCGCCGCACCCCAAUCCAACCCCGCCGCCGGCGAUCUCCUCGCCCCCCUGCGCCGCCGCCCCCAACCUUCUAUUCCUCUCCCAAGGGAAGGGAAGGGAAGGGAAGGGAGAGGGAGCGCCCAGAUCCACGGCGGCAUCAGCGCGCUGUCGUCGACCUGAUCCGCGUCCGUCCUCGAGGGAGGUCGGCCAUGGAGGUCCGACGCGGCCCAGCAGCAGCCAUGGACGGACGGAGACACCCCAAACCCUACCUGGGACGACGCCUCAACCUUCAAGGACGCGCGCCGGCGACCGCAGAUCUCCGGUGACGGCUAUGUUGAGAUGACUGCCCCGGAUCUGGACGCACAACCUGCAGCUGCAGCAACAGUUGGACGACCGAACGCACGAGCCCUCCUUCCCUCCCUCAUGGCUCUGCUUCCUCCUACCCUGCCCCCUCACGUGGGCAUGGUGAGCUUCCUACCCCCCGUGCACAUCUCAUCUAAUCUCAUCAAAUCUAGAUUUCUCUGGACGUAUUUAUUGUUCUAGACACAACUUGAUUCUCUUCAGUUUGAUGUCACCCCUUUCCUGCCGGAGUGAGUCAGUCAAAUACUCCUACUAGCAGUAUAAGAUGUUUGCUGACUUUGAAAAAUGAUAGAUAGUAAAAAAUACGCUAAUGAGGUUGUGCAGCGGCGGACGUAUGACUGCUACCUGCACAAGCGGAUGGCCCUGCGAGCCGGACCAACCUCCAGCUGCUGUGGCGUACCACGGGCAGAUUUAUCCCAACGAGGUAUGCCUGUGCACAAUCAUCAUCUGAAACAUAUGGAUGCAAAUGCUUGGUGCUGCGUGCAUGCAUAUAUACGUCUAAACAGAAUUACGGUGGGAUGCAGGAAACAAUGAGCCCAAAAAUUAAAUUAAAACAAAUCGACGCCAACAGCGAUGGGGACCAUGACGCUUGAAGAUAUGGAGGCGACAAAUCUGUGCCGAUCCCCUCUUGGUGAUAACUCUAGCCGAGCCCCUCUUGGUGACAUUCCUAAUCUUGAGCAUCCUUCCCAAAUCCUAUAUACCUAAGAGAUUCACCCCCACUAUCCUAUUUAUCUUAACAUGCAAGCUAUCCACAUCAGCAGUCCACUCACAUCAGCGCUCCGUUACCGAAUUACAAGAGGGACCCACCACAGGUUGACAUGGAUUCUCUGCCUCCACGUCACCUCAACUUCUUCUACCAAGUUGUGUCACACACACGUCACCUCAACUUCUUUUACCACAUUGUGUCACACACACAUGCUGUGCGUUAUCACGUUGUGCGGCACGCAGCAAAUGUAGGUGGCAUACGAAACGAGGGCCUGCCCAUAUUCCUUUCAUCCACUAUCUCGCCACUGAUCAUUAAUAGGCCCGUUUACUAGGAUAAAGCCAGUUCGUCUCACACAAAUCAUGAACGAAUCAUUGCGCCUUCCAACUGGGUGCUACUGCGACGGGGCGGCGGCGGACAUGUAGCAGAGCACCGGUAUCCAUUAACUAGAGGAAUAGGUGUCAGGCAGGCAGCGGUGAGGACGUAGCAGCAGCCAGCAGGCGAGGCGCCACACACCGACGACAACGAUCGUAGACUGAACGCUCCAGCUAGGGCUGAGCCGCCACUGGGUACUACUGCAAGGGUCGAACAAGCAGAACGAGAGUGCCAGAUCGAUAGAGAAGAACACCGCUACAUGACCAGAAACUGGAGCCCUAUGUUGCCAUCAUGGACAUGGAUCGGAAGGCUCUGAAUUACGCCAGAUGCAUUCAUCCCCUACAAACUAUAAUAUUUCGGGGCAACCUUUUAAUCAUAAUUUAAUUUUAUUAAUAUCUGUGUAAAUGCAGAUAACUCAUCAUGCUUAUUUCUAGGAAUGGAACUAAGCUUCAUCAAAUUCAAAAGCAUGUAUAAUGCUGCGCACUACACAAAACAAACAAAAAGAAUGAGAACAACCUGAGUAUACUGUCAUGAAUGGUAGCAGUAUGUUGCACAAGGUUGAUCCGGUGAGAAGCAUGAUUUACUCAAUAGUGUACCUCGUGAUUUAUUAGUGAUAUCUUUUAACAGAAAAUUAGAUUAUUAGUGAACUCGCAUUUUUUCUUCUGAGCAAGCUAUGUUUUUAUGGAAUGGAUAGUUAAUAGUUGUCAUCGUUGUUUCAGGUUUUUUCCAAGGGCUGAGAUGUCUCUACUUAAAGGUGUUUUUUUUUUUUGCAUCAGCUUGGUCUUUUUUUGCGGGUGAUGUAUCACCUUGGUGAUAUACUUUUUUUGCGGGGAACCUUCGUGAUAUACUAUUAAGGUAAUAAAGGAGAAGAAGUUUAUCAAAGAAGGUAAUAAUUAGUAAAAAAAAUCACGUGCACACAAUUUAAGCUUUUCAACACUUUUAUCUUAUUCUAAACAAUAUUUUUUUCCAAGAAUGUUAUUUAAAAAAACACAUUUAUCAUAUUCUAAACAAUAUUUUUUCCAAAGAAUAUUCUUUAUCAUCGCACAUACUAAAAUUCAUGUGCACACAAUUUUAGCUUUUCAACACUAUUCUCUCUUAUUCUAAACAAUAUUUUUUUCCAAGAAUAUUAUUUAUCAUCGGCACAUACUAUCUCAUGUUUCUAAACAUCAAAUUAUUUGUUAGAAAUUCCCGCAACAACGUGCGGGGUAUCAUCUAGUGACUCCAGUGCCCGUGCCAGGUAAUUGCGAGCAUAAUUUUUUGUUGUUGAUCGCAUUGGGGCAUACAUAUAGUUGAUACGGCUUUUCUACUGUUAAAUUCUUGCUGCAGAAAUACAAAAAUUAUAUAUAAAUCAGAACGAACAUCACAACAUGUUCUUAAACACAAUGGUGUUAGCACACAAAAAUCUAGCUAACAACAGGAACUACGGUUUUAACCCAGGCUAUUAACUAAGGUAAGGGAGAGAAUUUAACUGGAAAUUACCUCUUGGUGCAAGUAGUACAUGUGCUUUCAAGAGGAGCCAACGAUGCGGCCAACCAUGCUUAAAAUGAUACACAGUGCAAAUCCCACGCCUCUGGAUUCCUCUUACUUCAUCAGCUCACUUGAGUAAUGCCCUGCUUGUUUAGCAAAUAAAUUUUAGUUGUGUCUGGAAGAUGAUACAUAGCUGUCUAUUAUAUCAUGAAGAGCAUGGCUCCAAUGUAUUUCAGGUACUUAUGUCUAGCUUCAACAGAUGGCAUCUCUAAUAUUCUGAAUCUUUCUUUUUCCGGAUAAUGCAUCUGUAUGUCUGCAUUCAUAUGCUUAUGUAUAUCCUUGAAUCCAUUUUAGUCAAACAUUGCGAUCAAUAGCUCACAAGAAAAAAGAACAUUGUACAGUAGAAGAGGCAUAUGUGAAUACAUUGCGCAAAUAACUGAUACCAGUUUUCUGAACUAGCCUGGUGGUACUUCAGAACAACAUUGUAUUCUCCAAAAAUAUGAAGGUAUGAAAAGAAGUAUUCUACACUUUGGAAAUUCAGAGAUUAAUUGGCUACAUUGGUGCAUUACCUAUCGGCCUGGGGUGGCCUGCCAUGGAGAUCGACGAGGCAGCAGCGCGACUGUGCUCAGCGCAGUUUGAGUGGGGUAGAAGACAGAGAAGUCCAUCGCUGCACGCAGCGGCAGCUGCACGCAGCGCAUCCACGGCUGGCGGAGCAUCGCGAUUAGGACUAGCUGGAAGUGCUACUUCGAGUAUAGAGCACCGCCAACUAGCGUAAUGUUUCGUAUUCGUUUUAUCCGUUGUACUAUGCACUGACAGCCGGACUGACUCAUCUGCUGCAAGCACUGCAUAUGUAUAGUACAGGCGAAAGGACACAAUAUUACCGUUGCACUGAACACUAUAUAAAGUAAACACUUCACCCAGCUGCAUGUAUUUAAGGCUCAUGCACCAGCCGCUGCGUGCAGGACCGAUCGUUUUGCUUCAAACACGCACACAAGCACCCGAGUUGCUGCGAUCCGUCGACGUCGCCGUGCCGCGAUGUCCCAGAGCUCAUCUUCCGCUCGUCGUCUCUGGACACCCCCGCCCCCGCUGCCAUUGAUCCUGUGCCCGAGGUGUGCCGGGAUGAGCACUAGAUGGUUUGUCUCCGGGAUAGACCGGAAUCCCGGCGUCCGUUUUUACAAGUGCCCGAACCAGGGGGACGGGAGGCCCGUGCGACUUUUGGUUGUGGGAGGACCAGUACGUGUUCUUCAUCACCAGCGUUGGCAUCAACCUUCUCAUCAAGGCGGCCGGAGGUGGGAGCAACGUGAUGUUUGGUAUCGGACGCGCCAUGGAAGAUGUACAUUUUUUUGGUCAAUGAAAAAUAACCAGUGUACAUAAUGCCGGGGCACGCGUACUACUGUAACCAAACACCGGGUCAUGAUUAAGAAAACGAAUCCAAGGCAUGGAGAACUCCAAGGUGUUUGCUGACAAGCUGUUCGGGACAUGUCGAGGCAGAGGAACAUUGAGCCGGAUGAAGGCAUUAACAAGGAUCGGCUCAGAGAGGUGGAACAUGAACAUUGAUGGGAUGCUCAUAGAAGAUGAGGUCAAGAAGGUGGCUACGCAAAUGAUCACAGAGAAGACUACUGCUGGUUCAUCUUCCCCGCCCUUUAAAUAUGUUCAUGUCUGCACAUCAAUCUAUCGAUA